GGGUCGGUGGCGUAGUUGGUUAUCGCAUCUGUCUAACAUGACCCAAGGUGCUAUCAUGCAUGAUGUUUCCACAGAAGGUCCUCAGUUCGAUCCUGGGCCGACUCA